rnacentral:rRNA from 1 species
AGAGAAUAGAUACCCUGGUAGUCCACGCCCUAAACGAUGUCGACUGGUUGUUGGGGGUUUGACACUCUCAGUAAACGAAAGCUAAACGCGUGAAGUCGACCGCCUGGGGAGUACGGCCGCAAGGUUAAAACUCAAAGGAAUUGACGGGGACCCGCACAAGCGGUGGAUUAUGUGGAUUAAUUCGAUGCAACGCGAAAAACCUUACCUACCCUUGACAUGUCCGGAAGGCUGCUGAAAGGCGGCUGUGCCCGAAAGGGAACUGGAACACAGGUGCUGCAUGGCUGUCGUCAGCUCGUGUCGUGAGAUGUUGGGUUAAGUCCCGCAACGAGCGCAACCCUUGUCAUUAGUUGCUACCCGCAAGGGAGCACUCUAAUGAGACUGCCGGUGACAAACCGGAGGAAGGUGGGGAUGACGUCAAGUCCUCAUGGCCCUUAUGGGUAGGGCUUCACACGUAAUACAAUGGCGCGUACAGAGGGUUGCCAAGGAGCGAUCUGGAGCCAAUCCCGUAAAGCGCGUCGUAGUCCGGAUUGCAGUCUGCAACUCG